rnacentral:misc_RNA from 1 species
CGAGCCUUACACUGUUUAGCAGAUUUACGAACGAGAAGCGAAGAGAUUCGAGCCCAUUGAUUCUUCCCAUAUUUCAUCACCGCCGCUUUGAGAAUCUCAUCCUCCGUGUUCUUCCACACACCACCUUUUAUCAUAAUCCUCAUCUUGCCUCCUUUUUAUUUAACUACCACUCUGUUUCUUCAAAAUUCUAGGGUUUCGACGGCUGAAACAAAUAUGAAGGUUUGAGAUUGAUAGCCAACGCUCUCAAUCUAUAUUCUUAGGGUUUUCCCUUAUCGUGGAUUUACUGUAUUGGUCGCAAUUGGAUAAGACAAAAGUAAGAAAGGCCAUGAUAGUGAUGACCGUAAUGGCGACGAAGCAGCGAGUGAAGAUACCGUAAUGAAACAAAGAAACGGCGACAAAUUGGCAAUUUAUCGGCAACUAUAUUAUAAAAAAGCUAAAAUGGAACGAAAGCAACCAAAAAAUAGGGUGACCGGCAAUGAGCAGCGACUUAGGGAUGCAGGAAAAAGAGACAAAGCUUUAGGGUUGAAGUAAGGAUGGAGGUAGAUUCGCCGACAAGAUAAACGGCGGAGCUUGUUAUAAGUUAACUGAGAAAACUCAUAACGAUCCUGCCGUGAGAGGC